rnacentral:ncRNA from 1 species
UUGUUAUCAAGAAAGGUGGAGGGAAUAGACCCUUUGAAACCUUAGCAACCCUUUGCCCCAAUAUGCAAUGAAGGUGCUAAAUUCUAUUCGAAAAGGAGAUCAUCAUUGGUGAACUCUAAAUAUUUUUUCGGAAUAGAUAACGA